CUACCAACCAGAGUAAGCAGUCAAUAAAAACCACUGAUGAUUGAUCACCCACUCCCUUGGACAACUCAUUCACUUCCAGAGUUGCAACUACCGUCUCUUCACAGGACGGCCCCGCCGGGGACAGAGAAUCGAGCUAGCCAAAGAAAAGAAGAUGAUAGGUACAGUGAGCCAGAGAAUACUUGACAUUUCAGAAAUCCAGCAUAUAGAUGAUCCAUUUGGUGGAUUUUCUGCAGUACAUUUUUUUUUCCCUCCCA